UUCUGAGAUCUGCCUGUCUCCGCUCUUUAAUGCCACGAUUUCCAUAUUGGACUAACGGAUGCUGACCUAACACUCCUGGACACCAGAGUAUAUGCAGAGAAAAGUAUUACACCUGACUGCAAAGAAGGAAAAAUGAAAGAAGACAUUUUAGCAGAAACUGAAGAAGAAAGGAGCUGGAUGAGAUAAGUUUAGGCAUCUUGGAAUUACAGACCACUCUUUGAAAGAAC
rnacentral:lncRNA from 1 species